AUGGAGAUUUUAACAUGUGAUAUUUCCUCAAGCAAACUAAGUUCUUUUGCAAUUUGCUGCUCAAGUUGUGGCUCUCCUGCAGGGCAAAUCUUCCCAACAAGAAGCAUAACAGAGGCCUCUCUUUCAAUGUCUGAAGAUUGGGUAUCUAAUAACUGGCCAUCAGAGGGAGAAAUUCAGCUCCAUAACCUCCAUAUAAUAGUAGACAUCGUCGACAUUGGCACCAUUGGGUUGCACGAUCUGAUUUCUAGAUUGGCCAUCAUCAAUGUUCGAUUGAACUUGUCAGCCCGUCUGUCUCAGUUGGGUGAUUCUGAGACGGACCAAGAUACUGGUUCUGCCACUGCUUCGGUGGACUUGCAACCUCUUGCAACAGAUAACCUGAUACCGGACACACCACAAUAG
rnacentral:rRNA from 1 species